ACCACCAGUUACCGACCACCCUGUAUAUAGUAAAACUAUCGAUUCAGAUCUGAAUCUCUUUUCAAUUACACAAAUAGACUUUGUUUCCUCUGAAUCGGAGCACGUCCCUUUUAUCUUUAUACUUUUUGAACAUUUUUCUUAAAAUAAAGAAGUUUCGAAGCAGCAGAACACAUCCACUUUACCCGAGGUAGCAAACCAAAGAGGAAAGUGUCUGCGGCAUCCAUGUUAAAGCAAACAGCGCAGCGGCUGAACGUUCGGGAUCCAUCGCGGAAACGGGUCCGGUUUUCCUUCUGGGAGUCAGAGAUUUCAAGAGAUAAGUUGACAGGUUACGUCGCUGCGACGCGAUUCCAGUUUUUCCGGGGCUGCGCACAAAGAUAACGCGGCAGAGUUUUCGUACGAUCGUUCCACGACAGUGAACAAAAUUACCGGCAAUCGGAGAGCGAACGUUCCUCGUCUUUUGUCGAGAUCCAUUGGACGUUUGCCUUCGUUGGAGAUUUUUCAGGAUUUACACCUGCGAGUCGAUGUAAAAAGCGAGGUAAAACUAUGUCCGCGCGAAAUUCAUUAUCGCGUGCUUGGAAUCUCCGAAAAUCGUGCAAGCCAGCAUUGUGAGCAGCCAGACAAACAAACGACACUAAUUUAUCGGUGCAAUUGUCGAAUCUUAUGCAAAUCCACCUUCGGUUUUCCUCAAACGACGUUUAAUUGCCAGCAAUUAUGUUCUCUCAAAUUACGCCGUCAACUUUUUUCCGAUGAAAAGAUACCGGUUAGUUAAACCUCGUCGUCGCAUUUCAUUCGAAGAAUGUUCGUAUACCGAUUACAGUUAAUUCAUUUUUCUCUGAUCUGUAUAAAAUUUUGUAGAUUAAGCAUUGGAAAUCGUUGGAGUCGCAUCGUCGAUUUUACGGAUUUAUUAAUACGCGAAUUACUAAUUACCAAUCUUUAAAGAUAUAUAAUACACACGUGACAAUUAAAAGAUUUGUGACGGUUUGUGAUUGUCACUGAAUAAAUAAAUGUAUUUCAUAGUUUCAACAAACAUAGACAGAAUUUGACCGGAUAAUAGAUGUAUGCAAUGUAUUCGAGUUACGUUAAAAGUAGCACUGUCACUAGAUUUCAAAUGCGUUUGAAAGCUAAAAUACCUACGAAUGUGAGUAAAUAUUAUAUGGAUCCAUUAAACCUAUACUAUAUACGUUUAUAAAAUUAACAUUGGUUCAAGAUAUAAUUUAUAUUCAUCUGUUCCUUGACAUCUGUCCAUUACAAUGGCGAGACUAAUCGAGAAACACGAAACACGCUUGUUCU